rnacentral:rRNA from 1 species
UAACAAGGAUUCCCCUAGUAGCGGCGAGCGAAGCGGGAAGAGCUCAAAUUUAUAAUCUGGCACCUUCGGUGUCCGAGUUGUAAUCUCUAGAAGUGUUUUCCGCGUUGGACCGCGCAUAAGUCUGUUGGAAUACAGCGGCACAGUGGUGAGACCCCCGUAUGUGGUGCGGACGCCCAGCGCUUUGUGAUACACUUUCGAAGAGUCGAGUUGUUUGGGAAUGCAGCUCAAAUUGGGUGGUAAAUUCCAUCUAAAGCUAAAUAUUGGCGAGAGACCGAUAGCGAACAAGUACCGUGAGGGAAAGAUGAAAAGCACUUUGGAAAGAGAGUUAACAGUACGUGAAAUUGUUGGAAGGGAAACGCUUGAAGUCAGACUUGCUUGCCGGGCAACCGGUUUGCAGGCCAGCAUCAGUUUUCCGGGGUGGAUAAUGGUAGAGAGAAGGUAGCAGUUUCGGCUGUGUUAUAGCUCUCUACUGGAUACACCUUGGGGGACUGAGGAACGCAGUGUGCCUUACGGCGGAGGUUUCGACCUCUUCACACUUAGGAUGCUGGUGGAAUGGCUUUAAACAA